rnacentral:lncRNA from 1 species
AUUAAGUAGUGUGUACAUAUCUACAAACUGCCCUGCUUCCUAUGGUUCCUUUGAUGCUGAUUUGCUUCUUUAAGCCUUCCUUCCUUCCAAACCAUGAAUCAGGUCCUUCCAGAGGCUAAGAAUUAAGUUCACAAUUAAGGCGACUCCCUCACUGUUUCCUCUGCUUUCAGAGAGGGGAAAAUACUUCCAGGACAAGUCAAGAAUUUAUCAGAUGCUCUGCUUUCAGCAGCCUGAAACUUUCAGCAGGAACACGAUAGCCGAAAUCCCAUGCCACUUCUUCUAUUGAGGCUUCCGUUUAAAUCAGUCCACCUUUUUUUUAGCAUCUCCUUCAUGCCAGGCACUGUGUGGAGAGAUGGUGCUACAGAGGUAAACUAAUCCAGCUACAGUCCUUGCCUUCAUGGGCUUUCAGCAAAGUAAUCUACUCCUCACACUUAAUUCUCCUGAGAAGGCUUCCUGGAUACACUUGAGAAUGAACUCCACUUUGGUUAUACAGACACAUGGAACUCCAUCACUGCUGUUGCUGAGAAAAUAUCAAUGGCUACAUUAUUUUCAACUGCUGCCUAUGAGUUAUAUCAGAGAUUAAUUGAUCAGCUAAAUGAGAAAAUGCAGAGAAUACACAAGGAAUAAAUCGAUGAAGGAAAAAGUGUGCUGUGUCUUCUAUACCUGGGAUCAAUUGUGUUACAGCUCACUCAGAGAGGCACCAGAUUGCCAAACAGCCUGCUUGCAAGGGGUCACAAAUAGGGCAAAUCACCAGCUUAACAACAUGUGAAAUUUUCAUUGUCUUAUUUAUAACCAAUUUCUCACUAA